GUGAAUCAUCGAAUUUUUGAACGCAAAUUGCACUCUCCUCGGAGCGUAUGAGUGUUUGUGGGUCAGACUAUAAAAAAUCGACAUCGUUGCUGUUUCACGGUGGCGUUCGUCGGAAAUUGGGUCAUCUUAUAUCUCUUGGUUUUAAGCGACUUAAAAUUUUCUUUUUGGUUCUAUGAACGUCUCUAAGAUUUAUUUCUUUACACGUUAAAGGUAUCGAUUUUUAUUAGACGUGACCUUAAUAUC
rnacentral:misc_RNA from 1 species